GACUCGAUGGCGUGAUGGUAGCGCGUCCGCUUUGAUUCUUGUGAAUCGCGGUUUAUGCGGAAGGUGUCGGUUCGAAUCCGAUUCCAGUCA